rnacentral:snRNA from 1 species
GAUCGUUCCUUGUGAGACGA